AAACAAAACGCGCUAAACAUUAGGUGGAACAUUUUACCAGCCACCAGCCUGUGCAUCGACCCAUGCAACAUAGAAUCCGGUCGUCCAUUAGAACGUGAAAACCUACCUGGAACUACCUGAAGGACGUCUAUACGGCUCUAGAAACGAGCAGCUCGCCAAUUCCGGUAGUGAAAUCGAACACGAGCACAAGAAACUCUCGAACAGACGCAAACCUCGCAAAUGUCCGACAAAGAUUCCAAUUAGAUCCACGACGCUUCGCUGGCUGCUUCCCACAUAGAACAUGUCCUCUGCGAAGCCACCAGUUCAUUGAGUUUGUUGCUCCGUACUGGACCACAACAGACAUGGAUGAUGCAGUGCAAAAUCUGACUGCUGCUA